UGGCCUUAUUUUUGUUAAGUUUAGUCUUGACAGUCAGAGACAAGGAAAAUGGAAGUGAAAUAAAAUAGGUAUUUUGGAACUUUUUGGUCCCUGUGAUCAAAAAGGUAACCCUGGGAGGUGACAACAGAUGGCAGCAGAGCUAUACUCAAAUAUUUAGUUUGCAGUGGGGAAGAUUCACUUACCUUUACUGUCGAGCCAGAAAAGGGCUGCUGCGGACUUAAAUACAAUUCUCGAAACCGCUAUGCUACUCAUACCAGCCUUGAAGACACUUUAGCUUCUUCACCAACUCAUUUUUCAGUAUUGAAGUGUUCUGCUUUUAGAGCACUGCUCCUGCACGUGCCCUGCAGAACCAGUCUUCACUGGCUAGGUUGCAAAGCACCUGGCUUGCAUAUACAUCCUGUUCAGGACCCAUAAACUAUGGCUUUUUCUACCAGAGCUUUUCUCGAAGAGCCUGAUCAGGUAGAUGUUUCCAGAGCAUUCCUUCUGAUAUUUUCAUUAAUUCAGUUCUGAGGUGUCAGGGAGUCCCUACAUAUUGUGUUGGAAGGCAGGCAUCUACAAUCAGGGCUAACAGUUUUAUACUAGAAGGCAGAUGUCCUGUGGACAUCCAGGCAUUGUUCUCAUCCUCACACGAGAACACACCAGCCAAUUAAUAUAGAAGGUCAGUUUCACUUUUAAUUGUAAAUCUGCAGUAGUUGUGACCACGGCUUUGAUGCUUCUCCACAUAAUAUUCUCUGUUUCUAUUGUUGUCCAGAAGUACUAUAGCUUCAUGGCAGCCUGUAGAUGCAAAGAGCAUGAAAUCAAACACAUCUGCAGAUACCAUGGCAGGCAAGCAGGGCAAGGAGAGCUAGAGUCCUCCCAAGAAGAGAGGACGGAAGCCUCUGUAGCACUCAGUCAAGCUCAAACUUGCCAGCAACAUACCAGACAAGCUUCUGAAGACAUCUACAUUGAAGUUUCUCCUGGCACCUAUUCUGUCACAGCAACCUCAGAGGACAUGGUGCAACAAACCCAUGUGGUGGAUGUCAGCGCAGGACAAAGUUAUGAUUUAACUUUUGUUCUAUGAUGUUUGUUAUUUCUUGGUAAUCACAGGAAUAAAAUACAAGGGUGUUUUAAUGCAUGUCAUGAACUAUGUAUAUCUUUUUCUUGUUAGCACUUUAAUAGUAUCCUCUCUGGGACUCCAUUUUUAUGGCCUGUAUAUUUGUUUUCUACUUAAUGCAGUUAUAUGCAGCCCACUUUGUACACUGAUUUUAUAAAUAUUUGUACAUUGUGUGCCUUAAAUCCAAUUAUGUGACUCCUAUUCCAGGUUCUUAUGCUUUAAACAAUUAAGAUACAAUCAGCGGAAUAAAAUACAUAAUUUAGUCUUUGUGAUGACAGCUUCUUUUUUAUUAUCCUCAGACAGAGUGUCCAUGUCACAUUCUUGAGCACAGACAGCAUGAUCCAUGUAGUAUGAAUACGGAUGUACAUUAGCUUCUGU
rnacentral:lncRNA from 1 species